CACUGGUCAAGUGAUUCCGCGCCGACAAUGUAGCGGGGCUCAAGUACACCGCCGAAGUCGUGGCAUUGAUGCAGAUUCGUCUGUGUUGAUGGGUAGGGGAGCGUCGUGCAGCCGGCGAAGCAGCAGAGUGAUCUAGUUGUGGAGGCUGUGCGAGUGAGAAUGCAGGCAUGAGUAGCGAAUCGAGGGUGAGAAACCCUCGCGCCGAAUGACCAAGGGUUCCUGGGGCAGGCUAAUCCGCCCAGGGUAAGUCGGGACCUAAGGCGAGGCCGACAGGCGUAGUCGAUGGACAACGGGUUGAUAUUCCCGUACCCGCUUCAAUGCGCCCAUAUCGAACCUCGUGAUGCUAAGAGUCCUUAAGUCCUCUGAUGUCCUUCGGGACUAGGGGUGAGGCUGAACGCUCGAUCCGAUCGGGUAGUAGGUAAGCGAUGGGGUGACGCAGGAAGGUAGUCCAGCCCAGGCGAUGGUUGUCCUGGGGUAAGCAUGUAGGGCGUGUCGUAGGUAAAUCCGCGGCAUUUAAGCCUGAGAUGUGAUGCCGAGCCGAUUGUGGUGAAGUGGAUGAUCCUAUGCUGCCGAGAAAAGCCUCUAGUGAGUGUUGUGGCGGCCCGUACCCUAAACCGACUCAGGUGGUCAGGUAGAGAAUACCAAGGCGAUCGGGUGAACUGUGGUUAAGGAACUCGGCAAAUUGCCCCCGUAACUUCGGGAGAAGGGGGACCUCUGUUGGUGAUGGGCUUUACGCCUGGAGCUGGUGGGGGUCGCAGUGGCCAGGGGGAAGCGACUGUUUACUAAAAACACAGGUCCGUGCUAAGUCGUAAGACGAUGUAUACGGACUGACGCCUGCCCGGUGCCGGAACGUUAAGGGGACCGCUUAGCCGACGUGAGUUGGCGAAGGUGAGAACUUAAGCGCCGGUAAACGGCGGUGGUAACUAUAACCAUCCUAAGGUAGCGAAAUUCCUUGUCGGGUAAGUUCCGACCUGCACGAAUGGCGUAACGACUUCCCCGCUGUCUCAACCGCAGACCCGGCGAAAUUGCACUACGAGUAAAGAUGCUCGUUUCGCGCAGCAGGACGGAAAGACCCCGGGACCUUCACUACAGCUUGACAUUGGCGUUUGGAACGUCUUGUGUAGGAUAGGUGGGAGACUGGGAAGCUGUCACGCUAGUGAUGGUGGAGUCAUUGGUGAAAUACCACUCUGGUCGUUUUGAACGUCUAACUCUGGUCCGUGAUCCGGAUCGGGGACAGUGUCUGGUGGGUAGUUUAACUGGGGCGGUUGCCUCCUAAAGAGUAACGGAGGCGCCCAAAGGUUCCCUCAGCCUGGUUGGCAAUCAGGUGUUGAGUGUAAGUGCACAAGGGAGCUUGACUGUGAGACUGACAGGUCGAGCAGGAGCGAAAGCUGGGACUAGUGAUCCGGCAUCGGCCAAAAAAG
rnacentral:rRNA from 1 species